CCUACGGGAGGCAGCAGUGAGGAAUAUUGGUCAAUGGACGAGAGUCUGAACCAGCCAAGUAGCGUGAAGGAUGACUGCCCUAUGGGUUGUAAACUUCUUUUAUAAAGGAAUAAAACGAGGCACGUGUGCCUUUUUGCAUGUACUUUAUGAAUAAGGAUCGGCUAACUCCGUGCCAGCAGCCGCGGUAAUACGGAGGAUCCGAGCGUUAUCCGGAUUUAUUGGGUUUAAAGGGAGCGUAGAUGGGUUGUUAAGUCAGUUGUGAAAGUUUGCGGCGCAACCGUAAAAUUGCAAUUGAUACUGGCAGUCGUGAGUACAGUUGAGGUAGGCGGAAUUCGUGGUGUAGCGGUGAAAUGCUUAGAUAUCACGAAGAACUCCGAUUGCGAAGGCAGCUUACUAAACUGCCACUGACAUUGAUGCUCGAAAGUGUGGGUAUCAAACAGGAUUAGAUACCCCUGUAGUC
rnacentral:rRNA from 1 species